rnacentral:tRNA from 1 species
GGCUCAAGCCGACAGGCGCCGACAAGGCCCAAAGUUAUUU